rnacentral:rRNA from 1 species
UACGUAGGGUGCAAGCGUUGUCCGGAAUUAUUGGGCGUAAAGAGCUCGUAGGCGGUCUGUCGCGUCGGAUGUGAAAAUCCAGGGCUCAACCCUGGACCUGCAUUCGAUACGGGCAGACUAGAGUUCGGUAGGGGAGACUGGAAUUCCUGGUGUAGCGGUGAAAUGCGUAGAUAUCUGGAGGAACACCGGUGGCGAAGGCGGCAUCCUGGACCAAUAUUGACGCUGAGGAGCGAAAGCUAGGGGAGCAAACGGG